AUGGGGUGUUACCCUUCAGUGAAUUCAUAGCUGUUGUGGGGGUUUACGCGGGGAAGUGAAACAUCUCAGUACCCGUAGGAGGAGAAAAUAAUAAUGAUUCUGCUAGUAGUGGCGAACGAACGUGGAUGAGGCUAAACCGUGUGCAUGUGAUACCUGGUAGGGGUUGUGUGUGCGGUGUUGUGGGCCCUAAUUGACGGUGACUACCAUCAUCGUGCUCGUGUGUUGUUGUUAGGUGAAGUGGUUUGGAAUGGCCUGCCGGAGAAGGUGAGAGUCCUGUAGUUUAAGACAAU
rnacentral:rRNA from 1 species